rnacentral:pre_miRNA from 1 species
CAUGUACUCCCUUCGUUCCAAAUUACUCGUCUCAGAAAUGGAUGUAUCUAGAACUUAAAUACAUCUAGAUACAUCCAUUUCUGCGACGAGUAAUUCGGAACGGAGGGAGUAUUUG